rnacentral:rRNA from 1 species
UACAGAGGGGGCAAGCGUUGUUCGGAAUUACUGGGCGUAAAGGGCGCGUAGGCGGCCCGCUAAGUCGAACGUGAAAUCCCCGAGCUCAACUCGGGAACUGCGUCCGAUACUGGCGGGCUUGAAUCCGGGAGAGGGAUGCGGAAUUCCAGGUGUAGCGGUGAAAUGCGUAGAUAUCUGGAGGAACACCGGUGGCGAAGGCGGCAUCCUGGACCGGCAUUGACGCUGAGGCGCGAAAGCCAGGGGAGCAAACGGG